rnacentral:lncRNA from 1 species
CAUCUAAGAGAUCAAAAGAAGAAGAUAAAGAUCAGCCUUCAAAGAUUCUUACGAGCUAGUACUCCCAAGGAGCCUGAUCAGUAUCCGUUCUUCGUGUGGAUGAUCUGUGGAGGCCGGAUAUCUUUGUGCAGCUGCGAGCAACCUAAAAGAACACCUAUCCACAUAAUACACUUAUGGAGAUUAGCAACCUACACUUCGAUAAAGAG